rnacentral:rRNA from 1 species
AGAGUUUGAUCAUGGCUCAGGAUUAACGCUGGCGGUAUGCCUAACACAUGCAAGUCGAACGGAAUACUCGAAAAGAGAAUCUCACACUAGUGAGAGGUUCUCCAACCGAGUAUUUAGUGGCGGACGGGUGAGUAACACGUUGGAACCUGCCCCGAAGUGGGGAAUAACUGCUCGAAAGAGUAGCUAAUACCCCAUAGUAUCCGGUUUAUCCGGAUUAAAGAUUUAUCGCUUCGGGAGGGGCCUGCGUCUGAUUAGCUCGUUGGUGGGGUAAAAGCUCACCAAGGCGACGAUCAGUAGCUGGUUCGAGAGGAUGACCAGCCACACUGGGACUGAGAUACGGCCCAGACUCCUACGGGAGGCAGCAGUGAGGAAUCUUCCACAAUGGACGAAAGUCUGAUGGAGCAAUACCGCGUGCAGGACGGCGCUUUUCGGAGUGUAAACUGCUUUUGUCGUCGAAGAUUAUGACUGUAGACGAAGAAUAAGGACCGGCUAACUACGUG